GUGUCAGCCGCCGCGGUAAUACGGAGGGAGCAAGCGUUACUCGGAAUUAUUGGGCGUAAAGGGCGCGUAGGCGAUCUGACAAGUCUGGUGUGAAAGCCCACAUGUUAACUGUGGAAGUGCAUUAGAAACUGUUGGAUUUGAGUUCAGGAGAGGAAGGCAGAAUUCCCGGUGUAGCGGUGAAAUGCGUAGAGAUCGGGAGGAAUACCAGUGGCGAAGGCGGCCUUCUGGACUGACACUGACGCUGAGGCGCGAAAGCCAGGGGAGCAAACGGGAUUAGAUACCCCAGUAGUCC
rnacentral:rRNA from 1 species